GACGAACCGUGCAAACGUUAUUCGGAAUCACUGGGCAUAAAGGGCGCGUAGGCGGCUCCAAAAGUCAGGGGUGAAAUCCGGCAGCUUAACUGUCGCAGUGCCUUUGAUACUGUCGGGCUAGAGUCCGGAAGAGGCGAGUGGAAUUCCUGGUGUAGCGGUGAAAUGCGCAGAUAUCAGGAGGAACACCGGUGGCGAAGGCGGGUCUCUGGGCCGAUACUGACGCUGAGGAGCGAAAGCGUGGGGAGCGAACAGG
rnacentral:rRNA from 1 species